UGGGCGGGGACGGUGGCGGCGGCUCCGGCUUUGGGGAGGGGGUGCGGCGCUGGGCCCCCUUAGCUGGAGUGCAGGCUCCGCCCACCCUUUGGGUCUAACCUCCGCGUUCCAAAGUUCCAGCUCCAGCCCUGCGCACUUGGGGACUUCUGCGUGAGGGUCUCUCGCCCCGGCCACAAAUCCCGAGCCGCACCUCUUAAUCGAGGCUCAGGCGUCCCGAGCGGAUCCCGCUUUCUUUUUUCCCUGUGCUGUUUGCAGUCCCACGGCCUCGCACAGAGAAAGUGCCUGACCCCAAGACCUGUGAUGAGACCGCCUAUUUUGUUUUUGUUAUAUACUAAUAGAUAUAGAUAUAUAGAUACAGUCAAUUAUCUGUAAAAUCGGCCAUGUCUCUGCCACCUGGGUAAAAAGGUGUCUCGAAAUUGGGGGCGGAGUCUCUUUUCUGACCCUACCCAAACGCACACAGAAACAACCCCAACAUUUGCAGAGCCCUUAAGCCUGUACACCCAAUGAGGAAUCGCUGGUUAGAGGCCGCGUGAAGGACACCCUGACCAAGCUGGGUCCUGCCCAUGCCGGUAGAUCGUCCAUGGCUUCCCUUGGGGGCUGCCACCCACUGUAAACCUGAGCAAGUUCCUCUCCUGUUCCGAAGCCUGCCCUGGCAAAGCCCCAGUACAUAUUCCAAUCCUGCUCUAGGGAGACUCCUAUGCAUUCAUCAAGGUCCAGCUCAAAUCUGGCCACCCUCAGUGGCUUUUCCUGACGCUCUCAGCAGAACCAAACCUCCAGCUUUGUUAUGUGUUGGUGUUGCAGUACACAGUGAGUGAGUUCUGUUUGUUUUCCAGGGCGGCAAUGAAAGGGUAGUCAUCAGGGACACAUAGGCUCGGGAAACCAACCCCCCUGGGUUCAGAGUGGGCUCGUUGCUAGCUGUGUGCUCCACUGUCUGUGCCUUCAUAUCUAUGGUGCGGGAGUUAAAGGAAUCAAUAGGUGGAAGGUGCAUGUACCAGUGCCUGGCACUGAUGUACAUUCAAUCAAAGUUAGCUACCGUUGCCAGCUUUGCCAAAACGGGGUACUUGGGGGCGAGGAGGAGUGGCUGGAGGCUGGGGUUGGGGUGGCUUCUGGGUUUCUGGUGCUGUUUUAAUCUCGACCUGGGCACUGGUUUUAGUUUGUGAAAAAUCAUUGAGUUGCAUACUUAGAAUAUGUGCACUUUUCCAUAUGUCCAUCAUACAUUAAUAAAAAGUGUUUCUAGAAGUUAGUUGUUUUUCACUAAGAGCAGGACAGCCCUCAUCUCCUUGAGAACAAGAACAAAGCCUGACAUCCCAGCAGCUUGCACAGUGCUGGCGGGGCACGCUGUAAGUGCUCAGCUGAUGGUUGUUGAAUUGCUCUGAAUGGAUUGUGAGCAAGAGACCAGCAGGGGUGGAGGCUGACAGGAGAGACAGCGCCUGCCUCUGUACUCUAAAGUGCCGGGGAACUCGUGGUGAUUUGGAUCCAGUUCAGGCACCUGAAGCCCAGUUAAAGAGAAGGAAUCUUCAGUCUUUUCUCUCUCAGCAGAUACAGCCGGGCACGGUGGCUCACACCUGUAAUCCCA
rnacentral:lncRNA from 1 species